AUUGAACGCUGGCGGCAUGCCUUACACAUGCAAGUCGAACGGUAACAGGUCUUCGGAUGCUGACGAGUGGCGAACGGGUGAGUAAUACAUCGGAACGUGCCCGAUCGUGGGGGAUAACGCAGCGAAAGCUGUGCUAAUACCGCAUACGAUCUACGGAUGAAAGCGGGGGAUACGCAAGACCUCGCGCGGACGGAGCGGCCGAUGGCAGAUUAGGUAGUUGGUGGGAUAAAGCUUACCAAGCCGACGAUCUGUAGCUGGUCUGAGAGGACGACCAGCCACACUGGGACUGAGACACGGCCCAGACUCCUACGGGAGGCAGCAGUGGGGAAUUUUGGACAAUGGGCGAAAGCCUGAUCCAGCAAUGCCGCGUGCAGGAUGAAGGCCUUCGGGUUGUAAACUGCUUUUGUACGGAACGAAAAGACUCUGGUUAAUACCUGGGGUUCAUGACGGUACCGUAAGAAUAAGCACCGGCUAACUACGUG
rnacentral:rRNA from 1 species